AAACCGCCCAGAGGUAAACGGGUGGAUCCGCAAAGUCGGCCCGCGGAAUUCAGCGCGGCGAGCAGACCUGGGCUGCGGUGGCUCGGGAUCCCUGGGACCCAGCCGCGGCGUCGCUCGGGUCUCCGCCGCGUGCACUUUCCGCGGGCAGAGCGCCACAACCGGUUCGGCGGCGGCUACAAGCUCGGAGGGUCGUAGGUGGGGGCGCUUGCGUCCCUACCAGCCUUCUGGUGCGAGCCGCUGGCGGACCGAGGGAAAGCCGGGCGCUUCGAGGCCACCCUCCCCUCCGGGUGAGAUCGACUGGGAGAGACUGGGCAACCGUGUCUCCCGACUGCUCAUCUGUGAUCGGCGCGGGGCUGGUCGGGCGCCCUUCAAGGUUGGUGGCAAGUCUGUCGGCACUCCACCCGACCCGUCUUGAA
rnacentral:rRNA from 1 species